GAGGGAAGUUAGUACCGAAGUCCAAGAUGGAAGAUGGCGAGAAAAGCUGUGUGUAUUUCUGCGGUGCCCGUACCGCAAACCGACACAGGUAGGUAGGAAGAAGAUUCUAAGGCCAACGGGAGAAGGGUUGUUAAGGAACUCGGCAAAUUGACCCCGUAACUUCGGGAGAAGGGGUGCUGCAGCAAUGCAGCCGCAGAGAAUCGGCCCAAGCAACUGUUUACCAAAAACACAGGUUUGUGCUAAAUCGAAAGAUGACGUAUACGAGCUGACGCCUGCCCGGUGCUGGAAGGUUAAGAGGAGAUGUGCAAGCAUUGAAUCGAAGCCCCAGUGAACGGCGGCCGUAACUAUAACGGUCCUAAGGUAGCGAAAUUCCUUGUCAGGUAAGUUCUGACCCGCAUGAAAGGCGUAAUGAUUUGGGCACUGUCUCAACAGCCCGCCCGGCGAAAUUGUAGUACCGGUGAGGAUGCCGGUUACCCGCGACAAGACGGAAAGACCCCAUGGAGCUUUACUGUAGCCUAAUAUUGGGUUUCGAUGUUGCAUGCACAGGAUAGAUGGGACACUGGGAAGCAGGUGCUUUGGCGCUUGUGGAGUGGCCGUUGGGAUACCAUCCUUGCGAUAUUGGAAUUCUAACCUGCGCCUUUGAAUCAAGGCGGGGGACAUUGUUAGGUGGGCAGUUUGACUGGGGCGGUCGCCUCCUAAAGAGUAACGGAGGCGUUCAAAGGUUCGCUCAGCUUGAACGGAAAUCAAGCAAAAGAGUGCAAACGCAGAAGCGAGCCUAACUGCGAGACUGACGGGUCGAGCAGUAACGAAAGUUGGAGUUAGUGAUCCGGUGGUAUGUGAGUGGAAAUGCCAUCGCUCAACGGAUAAAAGUUACCCUGGGGAUAACAGGCUGAUCUCCCCCAAGAGCCCACAUCGACGGGGAGGUUUGGCACCUCGAUGUCGGCUCAUCGCAUCCUGGGGCUGUAUUCGGUCCCAAGGGUUUGGCUGUUCGCCAAUUAAAGCGGUACGCGAGCUGGGUUCAGAACGUCGUGAGACAGUUCGGUCCCUAUCUGUCGUGGGCGCAGGAUAUUUGAUGGGAGCUGUUCCUAGUACGAGAGGACCGGAGCGGACGUACCUCUGGCGCACCAGUUGUUCUGCCAAGAGCAUAGCUGGGCAACUAUGUACGGAUCGGAUAAACGCUGAAAGCAUCUAAGCGUGAAGCCGACCCAAAGAUAAGAUAUCCCAUUGUUUCAAACAAGUAAGACCCCUUGAAGACUACAAGGUUGAUAGGCACGAUGUGUAAGUGGAGCGAUCCAUUCAGCAAGCGUGUACUAAUAGGUCGAGGGCUUGACC
rnacentral:rRNA from 1 species